rnacentral:rRNA from 1 species
AGAGUUUGAUCAUGGCUCAGGACGAACGCUGGCGGCGUGCCUAACACAUGCAAGUCGAGCGGGGAGAAGAAUUCGUUUUUCUCUUUAGCGGCGGACGGGUGAGUAACACGUGGGUAACCUGCCUCAAAGAGGGGGAUAGCCUUCCGAAAGGAAGAUUAAUACCGCAUAAUAUCAGGAAGCUGCAUGGCAUUCUGAUCAAAGGAGCAAUCCGCUUUGAGAUGGACCCGCGGCGCAUUAGCUAGUUGGUGAGGUAACGGCCCACCAAGGCGACGAUGCGUAGCCGACCUGAGAGGGUGAUCGGCCACAUUGGAACUGAGACACGGUCCAGACUCCUACGGGAGGCAGCAGUGGGGAAUAUUGCACAAUGGGGGAAACCCUGAUGCAGCAACGCCGCGUGAGUGAUGAAGGCCUUCGGGUCGUAAAGCUCUUUGAUCAGGGACGAUAAUGACGGUACCUGAAAAACAAGCCACGGCUAACUACGUGCCAGCAGCCGCGGUAAUACGUAGGUGGCGAGCGUUGUCCGGAUUUACUGGGCGUAAAGAAUGCGUAGGUGGAUAUUUAAGUGGGAUGUGAAAUCCCCGGGCUCAACCCGGGGACUGCAUACCAAACCGGAUAUCUGGAGUGCAGGAGAGGAAA